rfam:Salmo salar isolate Sally breed double haploid chromosome ssa02, whole genome shotgun sequence.
UGCAUUCACUACUGUAAGUCGCUCUGGAUAAAAGCGUCUGCGAAAUGACAAAAA